rnacentral:rRNA from 1 species
AGUGAACGCUGGCGGUAGGCCUAACACAUGCAAGUCGAACGGCAGCACAGUAAGAGCUUGCUCUUACGGGUGGCGAGUGGCGGACGGGUGGGGAAUACAUCGGAAUCUACUUUUUCGUGGGGGAUAACGUAGGGAAACUUACGCUAAUACCGCAUACGACCUACGGGUGAAAGCAGGGGAUCUUCGGACCUUGCGCGUUUGAAUGAGCCGAUGUCGGAUUAGCUAGUUGGCGGGGUAAAGGCCCACCAAGGCGACGAUCCGUAGCUGGUCUGAGAGGAUGAUCAGCCACACUGGAACUGAGACACGGUCCAGACUCCUACGGGAGGCAGCAGUGGGGAAUAUUGGACAAAGGGCGAAAGCCUGAUCCAGCCAUACCGCGUGGGUGAAGAAGGCCUUCGGGUUGUAAAGCCCUUUUGUUGGGAAAGAAAAGCAGCAGGUUAAUACCCCGCUGUUCUGACGGUACCCAAAGAAUAAGCACCGGCUAACUUCGUG